UCCAAACUCUCCUUGACUGAAGUGUUUGUAUUGAGAAGUCAGCUGAUUCAGAGUGAUAAUGAAGUUGACAAGAAAGUACAGAGCAAGAAUAGUAAGGUUUUGAAGAAAAUAUGCAUUGAAGAAGGAAAUUGUAGAAAAGCAUGAGCAUGGUAUUCAUGUGACUGCUUUGGCCUCAGAGUACAAGAUGGUGAAGUAGAAAAUCUCAACUAUUUUGAAGAUGCCAUAAAGGAGCUGAUGUGGCAAAAGGAGUUAUGUUAUCCAAGCAGAGGACACAAGUGCUGGAAGAGGUGGAAAAACAUUUGUUAGUGUGAAUGAGAAACAGUUGGCAGGUGACAGCAUUAGUAAAGCUAUGAUAUGUGAAAAAGCCAGGAAAUUGCAGUGAUUUACUAAAAGAAAAACCCUCUACAAAUGCAACAAGUGACAAAUUUAAAGCUAGUAGAGGGUGAUUUGAUAUAUUCCACAAAAGAAGUGAUAUCCACAGUACAGUAAGACAUGGUGAGGCUUCCAGUUCUUAAAAGGCCACUGCAGAAACCUAAAAGAAAGAAUUUGAGGAAUACAUGAAGGCAGAAGGAUACAUCACUCAAGUGUUCAACUGAGAUGAAACAGGGGUCUCCUGGAAGAAGAUGCCAAGCAGAACUUAUAUCACAUAGGAGGAAAAGGCACUGCCAGGGCAUAAAUCUAUGAAGGACAGAUUGACCCUUUUGUUGUGUGUGAAUGCAAGUGCCGAUCUGAAGAUUAAGCCACUACUGGUGAACCAUUCCUAGACCCCCCAUGUAUUCAAGAAACAGAAUGUGAACAAGAUCAGACUGCCUGUCAUGUGGAGGGCCAAUGCAAAACCUUGGGUCACAAGGCAAUUGUUUAUAGAAUGUCUGUACAAGAUGUUCACACCCACCAUUAAGAAAUAUCUUUCUAACCACCAGCUGCCUGAAAGGUGCCUUCUGAUGGACAAUGCCCUGACACACCCUCCAGCCUUGGUAGAUGAAAUGGACAAUGAGUAUGACUUCAUAAAGGUCAAGUUCCUCCCACUAACAUGACACCAAUUCUGUAGCCUAUGGACCAGCAAGUAAUCUGCCACUUCAAGAAGCUAUAAACAAAGAUACUCUUCACCAGGUUUUUUAAUGUCACUGAAAAGAUGUCCUUGACUCUAAAAGAGUUCUGGAAGAAACAUUUUAAUGUCCUCCACUGAAUCAGCUUCAUAAGCUUGGGAAGUUGUCACAUACUGGACCUUAAACUCAGCCUGGAGGAAAGUCGUCAGAAUAUUUCACUGAACGUGACUUUGAAGGGUCUGAUGCACAGGUAGUGGAGGAGAUUGUAUCCACUGGGAAGAGUAUAGGUCUGGACAUCAAUGGCACAGACAUAGAGGAGCUUGUGGAGGACCAUAAGGAGUCGCUGAUGAUGGAAGUAUUUGCUGAGCUCCAGCGUGAGCAGCAGAAGGAGGAUCAUGCAGUACAGGAAAAAAAAACAAGUGACAUUAGGCAGAUUUUUCAUCAAAAUUGACCCAGCAGCUAAGAGACAAAGAAGAAAGGAAACCCCUGAAGGAGAUCUCCUCAAAUGUCCUUAUGGAGGGGACUCUCCAUCCAAACAAUAACUUCCACCCUACCUACCUUCCUGCCCUCCACAGCAGAAGUCAUCUAAAGCAAGUGCCUGCGGAGCUCCUCCACGCAUGUCUAAGACCCAGGAUGCUCAGACCCCUCACAACAGUAAGGAAUGGCUGCAGGCACCAGGCCCUUGCUCACUAGCUGCCUGCCUGUAUGACUCCUUCACACCACUGGGGCUGGUGGGCCUUCUCUCCUCGGCUCAGUGGCUGCCACACCCGAGGAGCUGGGGCAUUCCAGUGGCGACGAGAAAAGGAGAGCUGAGUAGGAUGGCAGUGAGUGACCGUGAGCAGAGGCCUCCAAAGGCUCCUUUGUGCCUCCAGGUGAGUGGACCCUCACUUUCCCCUACCUGGCAGGACUUUU